UCGAUUUUAUAGAUUGUAAUUUUUAUCCAGCCUUAUUGCUAUAGCAUACUAUGCUAAAGUUAUGACAAACCUUGUGCUUAUUACAGUUAGAACCACGGCAGUAUUCUUCUACUGGCUCCCUUGCUACUAGCUUCUUUGCUACGAAAGUGCCACAGCAGUAUUCUUCUACUGGCUCUCUUGCUACCUCUACUUUGCUGCAAUAGGACCACAUCCAUGGAAUUCAGGCUCAAAUGCAUUUUAUAAACGAGGUCCCAGGAUUCCCGUGAGACUAUCAAGAGAGGAAAAACAAAAAAUGCCGCAGCUCAGACAAAAGACAGUCCUCUGUGUUUUUGUUACAGUCUCAACUGUUUGGACGACGGUCUGGUGUAGUACAUCUUUUGAAAACCAAGCAUCCAAGCCAUCAAUUUUAACAAUGCCACCAUAAACGUGUUAACGAACACUUAGCCUAGCCGUCUGGAAGACAAUUACA